UACGUAGGGUGCAAGCGUUGUCCGGAAUUAUUGGGCGUAAAGAGCUCGUAGGCGGUCUGUUGCGUCGGCUGUGAAAACCCGGGGCUCAACCCCGGGCCUGCAGCCGAUACGGGCAGACUAGAGUUCGGCAGGGGAGACUGGAAUUCCUGGUGUAGCGGUGAAAUGCGCAGAUAUCAGGAGGAACACCGGUGGCGAAGGCGGAUCUCUGGGCCUUACCUGACGCUGAGGCGCGAAAGCUAGGGGAGCGAACAGG
rnacentral:rRNA from 1 species